AGUGAACGCUGGCGGUAGGCCUAACACAUGCAAGUCGAACGGCAGCACAGUAAGAGCUUGCUCUUACGGGUGGCGAGUGGCGGACGGGUGAGGAAUACAUCGGAAUCUACUUUUUCGUGGGGGAUAACGUAGGGAAACUUACGCUAAUACCGCAUACGACCUACGGGUGAAAGCAGGGGAUCUUCGGACCUUGCGCGAUUGAAUGAGCCGAUGUCGGAUUAGCUAGUUGGCGGGGUAAAGGCCCACCAAGGCGACGAUCCGUAGCUGGUCUGAGAGGAUGAUCAGCCACACUGGAACUGAGACACGGUCCAGACUCCUACGGGAGGCAACAGUGGGGAAUAUUGGACAAUGGGCGCAAGCCUGAUCCAGCCAUACCGCGUGGGUGAAGAAGGCCUUCGGGUUGUAAAGCCCUUUUGUUGGGAAAGAAAAGCAGCAGGUUAAUACCCCGCUGUUCUGACGGUACCAAAAGAAUAAGCACCGGCUAACUUCGUG
rnacentral:rRNA from 1 species